CUUUUCAGUUCGAAACUACACUACAUACAUAUAUAUGGGGGGGUACUAGCUCCAACCCGUUGUUACAGUGAAAACUGCAGGAACUUCAAACAGGCACUAGGAAAUAGACUGAGAAACCAG